GAUGAAGAACGUAGCGAAAUGCGAUAAUUAAUGUGAAUUGCAGAAUUCCGUGAAUCAUCGAGUCUUUGAACGCACAUUGCGCCUCAUGGCAUUCCGUGAGGCAUGCCCAUCUCAGCAUUAGAAAAUAUUCUCAAAUUUUAGUUUUGUGCUAAAAUUUGGAUCAUGUCAAGGAAGCUAUUACUAUUAUUGUGAUCGCUCUUUGGAAAUUGAUAGGUCUUUGAGUUGCUACUCAUAGAACGUGAUGAAUCUUUCUUCGUUCUAUUGUAAUUCACUCUGGUAGUCCUAAAACUUGUAUGCCUGUGGCAUAUCUUGUAAUUUGACCUGAGAUUGGGUAGGGAUACCCGCUGAACUUAAGCAUAUCAAUAAGCGGAGGA
rnacentral:misc_RNA from 1 species